UAUGGUAUAACUUAGUGGCAGACGGGUGAGUAAUGUAUAGGAAUCUACCUAGUAGUACGGAAUAAUUGUUGGAAACGGCAACUAAUACCGUAUACGCCCUACGGGGGAAAAAUUUAUUGCUAUUAGAUGAGCCUAUAUUAGAUUAGCUAGUUGGUGGAGUAAUAGCCUACCAAGGCAAUGAUCUAUAGCUGAUCUGAGAGGAUGAUCAGCCACACUGGAACUGAGAUACGGUCCAGCCUCCUACGGGAGGCAGCAGUGGGGAAUAUUGGACAAUGGGCGAAAGCCUGAUCCAGCCAUGCCGCAUGAGUGAAGAAGGCCUUUGGGUUGUAAAGCUCUUUUAGUGAGGAAGAUAAUGACGGUACUCACAGAAGAAGUCCUGGCUAACUCCGUGCCAGCAGCCGCGGUAAUACGGAGAGGGCUAGCGUUAUUCGGAAUCAUUGGGCGUAAAGGGCGCGUAGGCUGGUUAAUAAGUUAAAAGUGAAAUCCCGAGGCUCAACCUUGGAACUGCUUUUAAAACUAUUAAUCUAGAGAUUGAAAGAGGAUAGAGGAAUUCCUGAUGUAGAGGUAAAAUUCGUAAAUAUUAGGAGGAACACCAGUGGCGAAGGCGUCUAUCUGGUUCAAAUCUGACGCUGAAGCGCGAAGGCGUGGGGAGCAAACAGGAUUAGAUACCCUGGUAGUCCACGCUGUAAACGAUGAAUGUUAAAUAUGGGAAGUUUACUUUCUGUAUUACAGCUAACGCGUUAAACAUUCUGCCUGGGGACUACGGUCGCAAGAUUAAAACUCAAAGGAAUUGACGGGGACCCGCACAAGCGGUGGAGCAUGUGGUUUAAUUCGAUGCAACGCGAAAAACCUUACCACUUCUUGACAUGGAAAUC
rnacentral:rRNA from 1 species